UCGAUCCUUCUGUAGAAUCUGAUCUGAAUCCUGUGGUUGAGAUCCUGAGAGUUCAGUCAGUAAAGUGAAGAAUCUGAGAUUGUGGGACAGCAGGUUGUCAAAGACCAGCUGGACUUCUCUGUUCUCAGCUCUGAAGUCCAAACCGACCCAUCUGACAGAACUGGAGCUGAACGGAACCAACCUGGAAGAUUCUGGAAUGAAGGAUCUCUGUGGUUUUCUACAGACUGAAGGCUGCAGACUGGAGACAUUGGGAUUGAAUGACUGCAGGUUGUCAGAGACCAGCUGGACUUCUCUGUUCUCAACUCUGAAG